ensembl:lncRNA
UUGAGGGUUCAAUCCCUGGCUUCACUCAGUGGGUUAAGGAUCCAGCAUUUCUGUGACCUGUGGUAUAGAUCACAGAUGCGGUUCAGAUCUGCCAUUGCUGUGACUGUGGCGUACGCCAAUAGCUGUAGCUCUAAUUCGACCCCUUAGCCUGGGAAUCUCCAUAUGCCCCACCUGCAGCCCUAAGAAGACCAAAAAAAAUUUUUACAAGGCUACAAACAGUAAAUGCUGGAGAGGGUAUGGGAAAAAGAGAACCCUCCUACACUACUGGUAGUAAUGUAAAUUGGUACAGCCACUAUGGAAAACAGUAAGGAGGGUCCACAGAAACUAGAAAUAGAACUACCAUAUGAUCUGGCAAUCCCACUCCUGGCUAUAGUUUCCAAACAAAACUAUAUUUCAGAAACAUACCUGCACACCUUUGUUCACAGCAGCACUAUGAAUAGCCAAGACACAGAAACAACCUAAAUGUGCAUCAACAGAUGAAUGGAUUAAGCAGAUUUGGUACAUAUACACAAUGGAGUCCAAUCUUAAAUACUCUUUUCUUUUUACCCAGUACUCUCAUUCUAGAUAACACCAUCCAUAACCUGGUUUCACUAGCCACUUCUAAGGGGAAAUGACUCACAAAUGUAUACCUCAGACUCUAACCAUUCCUAUAAACUUCAGAUUGAAAAUUUUUACUUAACCCCAGAUUCUGGAGAGUUCCCAUUGUGGCUCAGUGGGUUAGGAACAAGAUACAGAUUCAAUCCCUAGCCUCCCUCAGUGGGUUAAGGAUCUAGUGUUGCUGCAGGCUGUGGUGUAGGUUGUAGAGGCAGCUUGGAUCCAGUGUUGCUGUGGCUGUGGUACAGGCAAGCAGCUGAAGCUCUGAUUCAGUCCUGUAGCUUGGGAACUUGCAUAUGCCAUAGGUGUGGCUCUAACAAGAUUAAAAAAAGAAAGAUUAUAAAUUCUCAAUUUCAUUUGAAUAGGAAAUAUUCAGAAGACAUAUAUGAAAACAUAUUAAGUGUAAAUAUUCAACAUAUAAUUAAUAGCUCAGGAUUAUCCUAAGAGAGACAUAUGCUCUGAUGGACAAAACCUGAAAGUCCUUUCUACGGCUUCAAUUUCAAUAUACGCUGGUGAAGAAAAGGAAGAAAACGGAUAUAUCUAUACUGUAGGGCUGCCCACAAAGCACUCCAACUAGUGAGGAAGACAAGGUAGAAGAGUCAAGCAGGUAGUACCACCAUGAUCCUAACUUUGGAACAAGAUUCCAGUCAGUGGAUGGAACUAAAGGUCUAAUUUAUAAGAACAAGAUCUAGGAAGGUGGGGAUUUAAGUCAGAGUUCAGUUCCACUAGGAGAGAUGGAAUGGUAAAUCAGAAAUCAAGGCUGAAAUUCAGUCACCCAACUGAACGCACUAACUGUAGUAAAGCAGUAGGGAGGCUCACUGUGACCAUGAGUGUUCAGGGUUCACCUCAUGUAUCCAAAUACCAAGGUCAGAACAUCAAACUCCCACACCCUGAUGAAAGUGGAUCACAUACAUCCUGCCUGCAUUGAUGAACAACAAUAAAAAUCCAGCCCAGGUCUAAGGAUGGCAGUGUGGCACUACCUGAUGAGGUGCUCAUGAGCAGUGGGGUCUGGAGUCAUAAAAUCUCCAUUCUCACUUUAUUCUUCUACUUUCAAGUUCAGAAAGUCAUCCUAAGCUACAGGUUCCUUGUCUAUGAUAUGAGAUCAUUACAAUAUUUAUUCAAAUUCACAGGAAGAUGGAGAAGAAAGAAAAAUGUCCAAAAUGCUGACUAUGAUUACUUAUGGAUGGUAGAAUUUCAAGCAAUAUUUACUUUCCUCUUUGAAUUUUCCUGUUCAAAUAGAAAAUUUUCAAAAUACAGAUAAAGAAAAGGAGGAUAAUAAAAAACCUCUAUGUCCAUAGUACCCAGAGACUUGGGAUCCCUUCUAAGUCUACCAUUCUAACUUAUCACAGAUUAUUUUUAUUUGAAUCUCAAAAACAGAAACAAUAUUAUUGCAAUGAGAACCUACUGUAUAGCACACGGAACUAUAUCUAGUCACUUAUUUGGAACAUGAUAGAGUAUAACAUGAGAAAAAAAUGUGUGUGUGUGUGUGUGUGUGUGUGUGCACGCGUGCAUGUGCCUGGGUCACUUUGCUGUACAAUAGAAACUGGCAGAACACUGUAAACCAACUAUAAUGGAAAAAAUAAAAUACAUUUUAAAAUGAAACAAUAUUAUUGAAAUUAUAUUGGAGCAAGCUAUGAAGAGAGACCACCUCUUAAAUGAAAGGCAAAUAAUAAUCACAAAUAUGAAAUAUUACAAUCCACAGCAUAUAGAGAAUGCCACAUUAAGUGCUACUAUAAAACACUAUAACUCAAAAAAUACUUAUUCAAAUCAUCUUAUAGUCUGCUUAAAGAAUGAAAUUAUAUAAUAGAUGCUAAAAUUAUUUUCUAAAUGCAUUAAUAUCCAUUAGAGAUGUCAUUUAUUAAUACCAAAAAAACCCCACAAUUGUUGAUACAAAUAAAUUAGGAUUGAAUAACAUUCACUCAGGAAUUAUGAAGAAACUGAAAUGUGAAGCUAUCAAACCAUGAGCUAAAAUAUAUAAAAGUCUUUGAGCAGAUUCAAUAAUUUUUCAUGUCAUUCAUUGAAACAAAAAAAAAAGGCUCCAAGGACUCUCAAGGAACUACAAACCAGUGAGUAAACAAGAAAUAUUUCUAAUCAUAAGGUUUGAAAAUUGUCCAUCUUAAGUAAGAAUAAUUUCUAGUUCAAAUAAAAAGAAUAAUUUCUAGUCAUAAAAAGUAAUAAUAUUUUCUGCAAAGGGAAUUUGAAAAAAAUUGGUGAAAAAAAAUAUGGUGCAUUUCAGCCCUAUCAUACUACAUAUAGGUCAAAUUUUUUAUUUUCAAAUGAAAAAGUGAAUCAGGAAAUGGUUAAGAUAAAAAUAACUAUAAUAAUCACUGUCCAGGAAGGACAUAAUAAAAACAUUCUCAGAAAUAUAAGAGCCAAAAGAAUAUGUUACAUGUUAAUAAAAUCAUGAAGGGUAUUGAUAAUAUGAACACAGAAUUAUUCAGCAAAAUACGAAGUAAUUCUUUGCCAUUUGAAGUGAAAGUAGUAUGGGGAAAAAAAUAAAAGGAAUUAAGAACCACAUAUUACAAAAUAUGUGGCAAUAUAGAGAAUUCUGAACCCUAAUUAUUCCAGCUAAGAAUAAAAAUAUAAACUAUUUCAGAAGUAUCAGAUAAAUAAAUGAAUGAUCUGUCUACUUAGGGUAGUGUGAUUUCUUAAUUGGCACUUUCAGGGUGCUAACACAGGAGAGGCCAUAUGUAGGCACUCUAGUCAACAGUCCAAGCUGAGCACAGCCUUCCGUCAGUGAACAUAAUUAGCCAAAUUUUUUGUGAAAAAAGUGGAGUUUUAUGAUGUACUGUUUUCACUGUCAUUAAUAAUAUCAAAGGUAUUUUCAAUAACUAAGUUAAAAACAAGAAUUUAGUAAUAAAAUCUGGUUUUGAUUAGGAUGUGAUAUAAGAUAUAGAUAGACUCAAAGCAUAAAUACAAUGUCAAAUAAAUAGAAAGAAUAUAUAAUAAUAUAAAAUUGUAUUUAUACAGCAUAAAAGGUUAUCAACAACUUUUUAAUAAUUUAUAAGCUUACAGCAUCUGUUCCUUUGAUAUGUUUAACAACCUUGUAUGCAUUCCAACUCCCAAGAUCCCAUAAGCUAAUCAAUUGGGUAUACAUGAUAGAAAUUAUCUCAAAAAUUAGUAUAGACUUGUAAGUUCCAAUUGGUAUUAAGUCUACUGUGAACAAUAUGUUGAUUACCAUAUUAAGUAAUAGGCAUAUGUUUUCCAAAUGGAUGCUUGUAGAGGUGAUUGUGAUUGGAAAAAAAUUAAUUCUUGUUUUCACCUUCUGCAUUGAUUAGAAACUUUUAAACAUAUAUAAUCUCUAAGGGUGAAUAAGAUAAUUAUGUUGAAGUUAAAAUGUUCAGAUGUACCUAUAA